GACGAACGCUGGCGGCGUGCUUAACACAUGCAAGUCGAACGGUAAGGCCCUGCUUUUGUGGGGUGCUCGAGUGUCGAACGGGUGUGUAACACGUGAGUAACCUGCCCUUUACUUUGUGAUAACUUCAGGAAACUUGGGCUAAUACCGGAUAUGUUCUCCUGCUUCAUGGUGGGGGUUGGAAAGUUUCGGCGGUUGGGGAUGGACUCGCGGCUUAUCAGCUUGUUGGUGGGGUAGUGGCUUACCCAGGCUUUGACGGGUAGCCGGCCUGAGAGGGUGACAGGCAAAAUUGGGACAGAGAUACGGCCCAGACUGCUACGGGAGGCAGCAGUGGGGAAUAUUGCACAAUGGGCGGAAGCCUGAUGCAGCAACGCCGCGUGCGGGAUGACGGACUUCGGGUUGUAAACCGCUUUCGCCUGUGACGAAGCGUGAGUGACGGUAAUGGGUAAAGAAGCACCGGCUAACUACGUG
rnacentral:rRNA from 1 species